AUGGCGCUGACGAAGCGGCCGGUGGACGAGGACGGCCCCGUCGUUGCCGGAGAGGACGCCCAGCGCCUCCUCGCGUGGCGGCACGUCCUCGUCUACAAUGCCGACGCCGCGCUCACAAAAGGUGCAAAGGGCCACGUCGUGGCGCUGAAGAACCACCUUAACGCGCAGUACUACGGCGAGGUCGGCGUCGGGACGCCGCCGCAGAACUUCACCGUCAUCUUCGACACGGGCAGCGCCGACUUCUGGGUGCCCUCCUCCAAGUGCUUCCUCUCGAUUGGAUGCUAUCUGCACGCGAGCUACAAGGCCAGCAAGUCCGCCACGUACAAGAAGAACGGAAAAAGGGUCGCACUUCGUUACGGAACCGGUGCAAUUUCUGGCUAUCUUAGCCAGGACAAUGUGCAAGUUGGUGGUGUAGUUGUAAAAAAUCAGGAUUUCAUCGAAGCUACCAGGGAACCAAGUAUUACUUUCAUGUUUAGGAAGUUCGAUGGCAUUCUCGGUCUUGGAUUUAAAGAAAUCGCCAGGGACGGUGUUGAACCUGUCUGGUGA
rnacentral:rRNA from 1 species